rnacentral:rRNA from 1 species
UGAAUACGAGAUGCUACGGCGUCGAAGCAGUCUAUGUCAUACUUCCAAGAAAAGCUUGCACUGUCAUAAACAAAUAAUGCCUGUACCAUAACCGACACAGGUGGGUAGGUAGAGUAUACUAAGGGGCGCGAGAUAACUCUCUCUAAGGAACUCGGCAAAAUGACUCCGUAACUUCGGGAGAAGGAGUGCCUUAUUUUAUAAGGUUGCAAUAACAAGAUCCAAGCAACUGUUUACCAAAAACACAGGUCUCCGCUAAGUCGUAAGACGAUGUAUGGGGGCUGACGCCUGCCCAGUGCCAGAAGGUUAAAGAAGUUGGUUAGCAUCCGCGAAGCUGAUAACUGAAGCCCUGGUGAACGGCGGCCGUAACUAUAACGGUCCUAAGGUAGCGAAAUUCCUUGUCGGGUAAGUUCCGACCCGCACGAAAGGCGUAAUGAUUUGGAUACUGUCUCAGAGAGGGGCUCGGUGAAAUAGACUUGUCUGUGAAGAUGCGGACUACCUGCACCAGGACAGAAAGACCCUAUGAAGCUUUACUGUAACUUGAAAUUGAAAUUGGACUUUACUUGCGCAGUAUAGGUGGGAGGCGUUGAGAAUAUUCUUGCGGGAAUGUUGGAGCCAUCAGUGAGAUACCACUCUUGUAAUGUUAGAUUUCUAACUUUGUAUCAUUAUCUGGUCAAAGGACAGUUUCAGGCGGGCAGUUUGACUGGGGCGGUCGCCUCCCAAACGGUAACGGAGGCGCACAAAGGUUUCCUCUGAACGGGUAGAAAUCGUAUCUAGAGUGUAAAGGCAUAAGGAAGCUUGACUGUGAGACCUACAAGUCGAGCAGGGACGAAAGUCGGUCUUAGUGAUCUGACGGUGCUGAGUGGAAAGGCCGUCACUCAACGGAUAAAAGUUACUCUAAGGAUAACAGGCUGAUCUCCCCCAAGAGUUCACAUCGACGGGGAGGUUUGGCACCUCGAUGUCGGCUCAUCGCAUCCUGGGGCGGUAGUACGUCCCAAGGGUUGGGCUGUUCGCCCAUGAAAGCGGUACGCGAGCUGGGUUCAGAACGUCGUGAGACAGUUCGGUCCAUAUCCGGUGUAGGCGUUAGAAUACUGAGAGGAGCCUUCUUUAGUACGAGAGGACCGAGAAGGACAUACCUCUGGUGUACCAGUUAUCGUGCCAACGGUAAACGCUGGGUAGCUAUGUAUGGAGUGGAUAACCGCUGAAAGCAUCUAAGUGGGAAGCCCACCUCAAGAUGAGUGCUCUCACAGGGUUAACCUGGUAAGGUCAC